rnacentral:tRNA from 1 species
GUCGUAGCUCAGUGGUAGAGCAUCUGCUUUGCUUGCAGCAGGUCCCAGGUUCAAUCCCCAGCAUCUCCC